rnacentral:rRNA from 1 species
GAUGAACGCUGGCGGCGUGCCUAAUACAUGCAAGUCGAGCGAACAGACGAGGAGCUUGCUCCUUCGACGUUAGCGGCGGACGGGUGAGUAACACGUAGGUAACCUACCUAUAAGACUGGGAUAACUUCGGGAAACCGGAGCUAAUACCGGAUAAUAUUUCGAACCGCAUGGUUCGAUAGUGAAAGAUGGCUUUGCUAUCACUUAUAGAUGGACCUGCGCCGUAUUAGCUAGUUGGUAAGGUAACGGCUUACCAAGGCAACGAUACGUAGCCGACCUGAGAGGGUGAUCGGCCACACUGGAACUGAGACACGGUCCAGACUCCUACGAGAGGCAGCAGUAGGGAAUCUUCCGCAAUGGGCGAAAGCCUGACGGAGCAACGCCGCGUGAGUGAUGAAGGUCUUCGGAUCGUAAAACUCUGUUAUUAGGGAAGAACAAACGUGUAAGUAACUGUGCACGUCUUGACGGUACCUAAUCAGAAAGCCACGGCUAACUACGUG